UACAGAGGGUGCUAGCGUUGUUCGGAAUCAUUGGGCGUAAAGCGCGUGUAGGCGGUCCGGUAAGUCCGCUGUGAAAGUCGGGGGCUCAACCCUCGAAAGCCGGUGGAAACUGUCGGGCUAGAGUGCGGAAGAGGCGAGUGGAAUUCCUGGUGUAGCGGUGAAAUGCGCAGAUAUCAGGAGGAACACCAAUUGCGAAGGCAGCUCGCUGGGACGUUACUGACGCUGAGACGCGAAAGCGUGGGGAGCAAACAGG
rnacentral:rRNA from 1 species